GCAUGAAGUCGGAAUUGCUAGUAAUCGCAGAUCAGCAUGCUGUGGUGAAUACGUUCCCGGGCCUUGUACACACCGCCCGUCACACCAUGGGAGUCGGUAACACCCAAAGUUGGUAGUCUAACCGCAAGGAGGACGCCGCCUAAGGUGGGAUUGAUGACUGGGGUUAAGUCGUAACAAGGUACC
rnacentral:rRNA from 1 species